AUCUCUACUAUUACUUAAGACAUUAGUGUAGACGUCCACAUUUUUUUGGUGCACGGUUCUGCCAUCCGUCGCCCUCUCUCCUCUCUUGCGCCCCCGCUCUCUCGUCCGCUAUCAUGGAAGGAGAAUCAACACAUCUAGGGAAGGUCCGCGUGGUUCCAUGGAAGGUCCGACCCUGCUCUCCUCUCUGCUGUCUCUCUCGCCCGCCAUCUCUGCGCCCCCGCUCUCCUCUCUGCAGUCCACCGCCAUCUAUGGCAGCCUCUAUCCGCGCCCUUAAAUGGCGCACGUGCUUCAUGGCAGCCGUGCCCCGCUCCCAAAUUACCUCCGCGCUAGAGAUCCGACGCGAAUCGCCCAUGGCAGCCGCGCCCCGCUCCCAAAUUACCUCCGCGCCAGGGAUCCGGCUUCCGAAUCGCGCGAUUGCAGCGGUGCCGCGCCUCCAUCCUCUCCUCGCGUGCCUCGCCCCCAUCACCGCGCCCCUUCCAACCUCGACGCCUCCUCCCAUCCACGGCGCCCAUCGUGCGUCCGUGCCCCCACCUCUGGCCUCCUCGCAAUCCGUCAGUCGCAUCUCGCAAACGUGCACCACGACCUCACCCCUGCCUCCCCAAAACGCUCCACCUUCGCUGCCGAACUCCACCUCGCAUGCCUCUCCUCCACCUCCGCCUCGCCCCCACCACCGCCUCACCCUCGCCCGAAGGCUCGACCCUAGCCCCAAUCAAACGGGAGCAUCGCCGACCUCCACCUCAAGCGCCUCGCCUACACUCGGCCUCGCUCCCGCCCGACAUCUCGACUCUAGCCAUUCAAUGGAGCUGCUACUCACCUCAACCUCGCGUGCGUCGCCUCCGCCUCGCCCCCACCCAAUGCCUUGACCCUGGCCCCGAUGUGACAAAGAGAAAGGGGUGGAGGCGAGCCCCUAGGUAGGUGCAAAGGGAUAGGAUGGGAGAUGGUUGCAAUGGUUGAGCACACAUGUCGCUAGGUUCUCUCCUCACGGCACCAUCGUGGCAUCGGCCAUGCCAGCGCCCUCUACCGGCUCGCCACUCAGGUAUUGUACUGCUAUCUUGUGUUGUCUUGUUGAUUCUUAUGAUACGAUGUUAUUCCUUGUUGCUAAUCUUUUUUCUAUACUAGAGUUUGAAGAUCUUCUCAAGCGAUUUGGUUCUCUGUAAAUUAUUCUCAGUUGCUAAGCUUGGCCUCUACUUAUCUGAUCAAGAUGUGGUCUUUAAAAAACACUUAGCUAUUAUGAGUGACAUUGCACCAUAAGAUUCCCAAUUUAGGGUCAUCCUAAAAAGCAUUUUCCUUUUAUCUUGCAUGCUUCUAACCGAAAGAGUUGAUUUGUGGUAUGAGGUCUGUAACCAUAGUUCAAGUGGUAAAAAGGCAAAAACUAGGGUUCAAUAUCUUUUGCUGAGUUGAUUUUAUUGCUAAUUGAGAUCGUGAAGUGGAGAUGAGUCGUGUUUGUCUGCUCACGUACAACAGCACGCCAUCCCCGAGCCUCGGCGCGAUUUGCCACCCAUAGCUGCAAUCAUGGAUGUUCCUUUUACUGGAAAAAGUCAAAUAAAGUUCUUUGCAUGUUUAUAUAUUUUUUUGUUUGAUAUUUUUGCAUCUUGGAAUGAAAGACAAUGCAAUUUUGUUACCUUAUUCGUUAGAUUCCAAACUACUCUGAUCUAAAAUAUUAUUUUCUCACAGUUUAACUAUAACAGUGGACAACUAGCACCAAAGACGAUUAUUGAUCAAAUUUAUGGGAACACACUAUCAAUUUCGGAAAUAAAAACAGCAGACAUUCCUGAUAAUGUCCUAUCCUCUGUUGGAGUUGUAAGCGAUGAAUGUGUUUGACUUCCAACUUAUCAAGGAUUUGCUUUUCUCGGCCUGAUUUCAGUGCAUGGUUGGUGAUAUUGGAGAUAAGUUCUUCACAAAGAGAGCACUAAGGGGCGUUCAUGCUGUAAUUUGUCUAACUGAUGCAUGUUAAAACUUUGAGGUUUCUAUUCAUUAUUAGUUACUCCCAAAGCAUGAGGUGUACUUGUGUUCAACAAAAAGCAUGAGGCAUACUAUCUGCCAAAAGAAUAAGAGGUGUACUAUUUUAUUAUCUAGAUAAUUGUUGAUUGUUGACACAUUUUGAGGUCCUCUAGCUGAUGACAUGAUGUUUAGGGCAUUACUUAAUUCUUUUGGCUUUCAUGUUAAGAGUUCUUUCUAUUAGGAAAUUUGAGAAUUUUAUGGUAUGAAUCAACUAGAUAUUACUGUCUCCAUUCCAAAUUAUAGGAUGUUUUGGCUUUUCUAGAUAUGUUGAUUUACAUGCAUCUAGACAUAGUGUACAUGUAAGUGCAUAGCAAAAGUUGUGAAUCUAGAAAACCCAAAACAUCUUGUAAUUUGGGAUGGAGUGAGUAGUAAAUUUAGUGUAUAUCUAAGUGCAUAGCAAAAGCUAUGAUUCUAAAAAUUCCAAAACAUCUUGUGAUUUAAAAGGAAUAGAGUAAUGAUUUAUAUAUGUGCCUUAAUUUGGAACUAUACUUAUGGGUCAACCUACUGUAUUUUUUGUUAACUACAUUACGUCCAUCUUAAUCUUGAGAAAGAUCUGUGAUGUACUUAUAUGGGAACAUAAAUGACAUUCCUCUUUAAUUGCAUGAUUUUUACAGAAUGGUUUCUUCUCUGAACUGAUCGACUUCAAGGGUGUUGGGUUGCAAUGCUCCUAUAAUUUCCUGUUAUCCAGCUAGCUCUAGCAUCAAUCAUUUACCCCUAUGAGAUUUAGAUGAGGUUGCAGCUACAGAAAUAGUGGUGGUUUGCAUGCUAUUAUGAAUAGCAAGCUGAAGAAGCUAGCAAAGAAGGAUGAAGAAGUGGUUGUUGCAUCUGGCAUCCCAUGUACAACAAUCAGAACUGGUUCUCUACAAAGCGCUCCCGGUGGCGAGAGAGGUUUCAAUUUUACUGAGCAACCAAGGGAAGAAAACGCAAAGAGGAUGCUGCUGCCAUAUGUGUGGAAGCUUUGAAUAGCAUUCCCCAAAAGACACUCAUUUUUGAGAGGGAUUGCGAAUGGACAUUCUGGGCAGCGUGUGACCAAACUGAUUCGACGGUGUUGGGAUGAAGAUCAUGAUGUGUGUCUGACUUUUUUUGGAGAUUAUUAUGGAACUCCAAGAUGUUCUACGCCAUAUCCAGGUUGUAAAUAUCGCAAACUUUGGUGUGGCGCGACAUUGAAGUCAGCGGGGGUAGAUGACAGCUGAAACUGGAACCUACCAAUGGAUGGCACCAUCAUUUUGUUAUAUAAAAAAUUUCACACUUUUCAGGAAGAAAGACAUUUUUUUGCAAAGAUAGGAGUUUCUGAGGUUCAUUUGGAAAUGUUGAACCGUACUAAUGUACUAAUGUUCUCAAUGAUGUACCCUAUAUUUUUCAUAAAGGACUAAUUUUGCAUAUCAUAAUAAUAUUUGUCGUUUUGUAUCUAUAUUUUAUAUUGAUUUUUAACUUCUGUGGCAACUUACAGACAUAUAACUAUCUA